rnacentral:rRNA from 1 species
GAGUUUGAUCCUGGCUCAGAUUGAACGCUGGCGGCAUGCCUAACACAUGCAAGUCGAACGGUAACGCGGGGGCAACCCUGGCGACGAGUGGCGGACGGGUGAGUAAUACGUAGGAAUCUGCCCAUUAGUGGGGGACAACCCGGCGAAAGCCGGGCUAAUACCGCAUACGCUCUACGGAGGAAAACGGGGGAUCGUAAGACCUCGUGCUAAUGGAUGAGCCUACGUCGGAUUAGCUAGUUGGUAGGGUAACGGCCUACCAAGGCGACGAUCCGUAGCUGGUCUGAGAGGACGAUCAGCCACACUGGGACUGAGACACGGCCCAGACUCCUACGGGAGGCAGCAGUGGGGAAUAUUGGACAAAUGGGGGCAACCCUGAUCCAGCAAUGCCGCGUGUGUGAAGAAGGCCUGCGGGUUGUAAAAGCACUUUCAGAGGGGAAGAAAAAAGCGGAGCUAACACCUCCGUUCUUGACGUUACCCUUAGAAGAAGCACCGGCUAAACUCCGUGCCAGCCGCCGCAGU